rnacentral:rRNA from 1 species
UUUUAUGGAGAGUUUGAUCCUGGCUCAGGAUGAACGCUGGCGGCGUGCCUAAUACAUGCAAGUCGAGCGAACGGACGAGAAGCUUGCUUCUCUGAUGUUAGCGGCGGACGGGUGAGUAACACGUGGAUAACCUACCUAUAAGACUGGGAUAACUUCGGGAAACCGGAGCUAAUACCGGAUAAUAUUUUGAACCGCAUGGUUCAAAAGUGAAAGACGGUCUUGCUGUCACUUAUAGAUGGAUCCGCGCUGCAUUAGCUAGUUGGUAAGGUAACGGCUUACCAAGGCAACGAUGCAUAGCCGACCUGAGAGGGUGAUCGGCCACACUGGAACUGAGACACGGUCCAGACUCCUACGGGAGGCAGCAGUAGGGAAUCUUCCGCAAUGGGCGAAAGCCUGACGGAGCAACGCCGCGUGAGUGAUGAAGGUCUUCGGAUCGUAAAACUCUGUUAUUAGGGAAGAACAUAUGUGUAAGUAACUGUGCACAUCUUGACGGUACCUAAUCAGAAAGCCACGGCUAACUACGUGCCAGCAGCCGCGGUAAUACGUAGGUGGCAAGCGUUAUCCGGAAUUAUUGGGCGUAAAGCGCGCGUAGGCGGUUUUUUAAGUCUGAUGUGAAAGCCCACGGCUCAACCGUGGAGGGUCAUUGGAAACUGGAAAACUUGAGUGCAGAAGAGGAAAGUGGAAUUCCAUGUGUAGCGGUGAAAUGCGCAGAGAUAUGGAGGAACACCAGUGGCGAAGGCGACUUUCUGGUCUGUAACUGACGCUGAUGUGCGAAAGCGUGGGGAUCAAACAGGAUUAGAUACCCUGGUAGUCCACGCCGUAAACGAUGAGUGCUAAGUGUUAGGGGGUUUCCGCCCCUUAGUGCUGCAGCUAACGCAUUAAGCACUCCGCCUGGGGAGUACGACCGCAAGGUUGAAACUCAAAGGAAUUGACGGGGACCCGCACAAGCGGUGGAGCAUGUGGUUUAAUUCGAAGCAACGCGAAGAACCUUACCAAAUCUUGACAUCCUUUGACAACUCUAGAGAUAGAGCCUUCCCCUUCGGGGGACAAAGUGACAGGUGGUGCAUGGUUGUCGUCAGCUCGUGUCGUGAGAUGUUGGGUUAAGUCCCGCAACGAGCGCAACCCUUAAGCUUAGUUGCCAUCAUUAAGUUGGGCACUCUAAGUUGACUGCCGGUGACAAACCGGAGGAAGGUGGGGAUGACGUCAAAUCCCAUCAUGCCCCUUAUGAUUUGGGCUACACACGUGCUACAAUGGACAAUACAAAGGGCAGCGAAACCGCGAGGUCAAGCAAAUCCCAUAAAGUUGUUCUCAGUUCGGAUUGUAGUCUGCAACUCGACUACAUGAAGCUGGAAUCGCUAGUAAUCGUAGAUCAGCAUGCUACGGUGAAUACGUUCCCGGGUCUUGUACACACCGCCCGUCACACCACGAGAGUUUGUAACA